UACAGAGGUCUCAAGCGUUGUUCGGAUUCAUUGGGCGUAAAGGGCGCGUAGGCGGCCGCCUAAGUCAGACGUGAAAUCCCUCGGCUCAACCGGGGAACUGCGUCUGAUACUGGGUGGCUUGAAUCCGGGAGAGGGAUGCGGAAUUCCAGGUGUAGCGGUGAAAUGCGUAGAUAUCUGGAGGAACACCGGUGGCGAAGGCGGCAUCCUGGACCGGUAUUGACGCUGAGGCGCGAAAGCCAGGGGAGCAAAGCGGG
rnacentral:rRNA from 1 species